rnacentral:rRNA from 1 species
GUGCCAGCCGCCGCGGUAAUACGUAGGUGGCAAGCGUUGUCCGGAAUUAUUGGGCGUAAAGCGCGCGCAGGCGGUCCUUUAAGUCUGAUGUGAAAGCCCACGGCUCAACCGUGGAGGGUCAUUGGAAACUGGGGGACUUGAGUGCAGAAGAGGAAAGCGGAAUUCCACGUGUAGCGGUGAAAUGCGUAGAGAUGUGGAGGAACACCAGUGGCGAAGGCGGCUUUCUGGUCUGUAACUGACGCUGAGGCGCGAAAGCGUGGGGAGCAAACAGG